GGUUAAGUUAGAAAGGGCGCACGGUGGAUGCCUUGGCACUAGGAGCCGAUGAAGGACGGGACGAACACCGAUAUGCUUCGGGGAGCUGUAAGCAAGCUUUGAUCCGGAGAUUUCCGAAUGGGGAAACCCACCACUCGUAAUGGAGUGGUAUCCAUAUCUGAAUUCAUAGGAUAUGAGAAGGCAGACCCGGGGAACUGAAACAUCUAAGUACCCGGAGGAAGAGAAAGCAAAUGCGAUUCCCUGAGUAGCGGCGAGCGAAACGGGAUUAGCCCAAACCAAGAGGCUUGCCUCUUGGGGUUGUAGGACACUCUGUACGGAGUUACAAAGGAACGAGGUAGAUGAAGAGGUCUGGAAAGGCCCGCCAUAGAAGGUAACAGCCCUGUAGUCAAAACUUCGUUCUCUCCUGAGUGGAUCCUGAGUACGGCGGAACACGUGAAAUUCCGUCGGAAUCCGGGAGGACCAUCUCCCAAGGCUAAAUACUCCCUAGUGACCGAUAGUGAACCAGUACCGUGAGGGAAAGGUGAAAAGCACCCCGGAAGGGGAGUGAAAGAGAUCCUGAAACCGUGUGCCUACAAGUAGUCAGAGCCCGUUAACGGGUGAUGGCGUGCCUUUUGUAGAAUGAACCGGCGAGUUACGAUCCCGUGCAAGGUUAAGCAGAAGAUGCGGAGCCGCAGCGAAAGCGAGUCUGAAUAGGGCGCAUGAGUACGUGGUCGUAGACCCGAAACCAGGUGAUCUACCCAUGUCCAGGGUGAAGUUCAGGUAACACUGAAUGGAGGCCCGAACCCACGCACGUUGAAAAGUGCGGGGAUGAGGUGUGGGUAGGGGUGAAAUGCCAAUCGAACCUGGAGAUAGCUGGUUCUCUCCGAAAUAGCUUUAGGGCUAGCCUCAAGGUAAGAGUCUUGGAGGUAGAGCACUGAUUGGACUAGGGGCCCCUACCGGGUUACCGAAUUCAGUCAAACUCCGAAUGCCAAUGACUUAUCCUUGGGAGUCAGACUGCGAGUGAUAAGAUCCGUAGUCGAAAGGGAAACAGCCCAGACCGCCAGCUAAGGUCCCAAAGUAUACGUUAAGUGGAAAAGGAUGUGGAGUUGCUUAGACAACCAGGAUGUUGGCUUAGAAGCAGCCACCAUUUAAAGAGUGCGUAAUAGCUCACUGGUCGAGUGACUCUGCGCCGAAAAUGUACCGGGGCUAAACGUAUCACCGAAGCUGCGGACUGUUCUUCGAACAGUGGUAGGAGAGCGUUCUAAGGGCUGUGAAGCCAGACCGGAAGGACUGGUGGAGCGCUUAGAAGUGAGAAUGCCGGUAUGAGUAGCGAAAGAGGGGUGAGAAUCCCCUCCACCGAAUGCCUAAGGUUUCCUGAGGAAGGCUCGUCCGCUCAGGGUUAGUCGGGACCUAAGCCGAGGCCGAAAGGCGUAGGCGAUGGACAACAGGUUGAUAUUCCUGUACCACCUCCUCACCAUUUGAGCAAUGGGGGGACGCAGGAGGAUAGGGUAAGCGCGGUAUUGGAUAUCCGCGUCCAAGCAGUUAGGCUGGGAAAUAGGCAAAUCCGUUUCCCAUAAGGCUGAGCUGUGAUGGCGAGCGAAAUUUAGUAGCGAAGUUCCUGAUUCCACACUGCCAAGAAAAGCCUCUAGCGAGGUGAGAGGUGCCCGUACCGCAAACCGACACAGGUAGGCGAGGAGAGAAUCCUAAGGUGAUCGAGAGAACUCUCGUUAAGGAACUCGGCAAAAUGACCCCGUAACUUCGGGAGAAGGGGUGCUCUGUUAGGGUGCAAGCCCGAGAGAGCCGCAGUGAAUAGGCCCAGGCGACUGUUUAGCAAAAACACAGGUCUCUGCGAAGCCGUAAGGCGAAGUAUAGGGGCUGACGCCUGCCCGGUGCUGGAAGGUUAAGAGGAGCGCUUAGCGUAAGCGAAGGUGCGAAUUGAAGCCCCAGUAAACGGCGGCCGUAACUAUAACGGUCCUAAGGUAGCGAAAUUCCUUGUCGGGUAAGUUCCGACCCGCACGAAAGGCGCAACGAUCUGGGCACUGUCUCAACGAGAGACUCGGUGAAAUUAUAGUACCUGUGAAGAUGCAGGUUACCCGCGACAGGACGGAAAGACCCCGUGGAGCUUUACUGCAGCCUGAUAUUGAAUGUUGGUACAGCUUGUACAGGAUAGGUAG
rnacentral:rRNA from 1 species